UUGCAGUGAUGUUUGAAUUUCUUCACCUGACUCGCCCGUGGAGAACACACCAAUACGAGCUUUUUAACACUGAGCAAU